UGUAACAGCAACUCCAUGUGGUGGUACUCUGAUCCCACUGGAGGUGCUGUUAUCUC
rnacentral:pre_miRNA from 1 species